rnacentral:rRNA from 1 species
CCCUUAGACGUUCUGGGCCGCACGCGCGCUACACUGACCAGUGCAACAAGCAUCCGUCCUUGGCCGACAGGCCCGGGCAAUCUUUGAACGCUGGUCGUGAUGGGGAUAGACUUUUGCAAUUUUUGGUCUUCAACGAGGAAUUCCUAGUAAACGUAAGUCAUCAACUUGCAUUGAUUACGUCCCUGCCCUUUGUACACACCGCCCGUCGCACCUACCGAUUGAAUGGUCCGGUGAAGCCUCCGGAUUGGCGCGCACCUCGGUGCCGCCGAGAAGUUGGCUAAACCUUACCAUUUAGAGGAAGGUGAAGUCGUANCA